GAGUUGGUAUGCUGGAACGUGAGGGGACUGAAUAGCCCUGCUAGGAAGAAAUCACUUAGAGAAUUUGUCGAGUCCGUUCGGGUCACUAUCAUUUGUAUCAUAGAAACUAAGCUGGAGUCGGUGGAUCAAUUUGUAAUAAUGCAAUGUGUUGGUCCAACCUAUGAUGGCUUUUUUUACUUGCCGGCUUUGGACACGCGUGGUGGAAUUUUUGUGGCGUGGGACUCCACGAAGGUGUAG
rnacentral:rRNA from 1 species